AGAAACGUGUUCGUAGGACCGCGUGGUGGUAACAACUAAAACUGUCAGCUGGGGCCCAGAUAGAGGGGAGAGACAGGGUUCCCGCCAUGUAGGGCCUCCGUUGACGUAGUGGCGGUGAACAUCCUACAUACAUAGAAAACCCACGGAGAGGAAUUCCAACACUAUUGCUUUUUUUGGAAGUUAACGAAUUAUUAAUGUGGUAAUUAGGUCAAAUCUAUCUUUCUAUUUUUAAGGUAAAAUUAUCAUUUUGAAGGCUGAUAUCAGUUGUAUCGGAGAAGAAUCUGAUGCUCUGCAUUUUACACUGUUUCUUAUAUUUGAUGAAGGCGUUUCUCCCGGAUUUUGCCAGAAAUGGUAAUAAAGUGAUGAGAGGACAUGGUGAAGAAGUUUGGUUUAACAUACACUUUUAUACUCGCAAAGUCCACUGGCAGAAAAGCAGGUCGUUCGACGAUAUGUUGAAGGUUUCUUGAGUUAAAAGACAAAAUGGCGAUAUCAUCCCCGAACGUGUUAAUGAUGGUGUUGGUCUUCGUAGGAAAGUGGGCAGUAUAAAAGGUACACAGGAUGGGACCAAGAAUGCUCCCUUGCGGGCCGCACCUUGUUGGUCCGAUACCUGUAUUCCCUGCUAUAUUUCAGUUUGGAUCAGUGGUCGAUGAAACAGUCAACAACUGAACCUUCCUGGAUCGAUUACCACGGUGUAGUGAUAAGGAACGAUUUUAUGAUAAUUCAAGAUGGAUAUUAAACUUUUAAAAGGAGUCUUUCGAAUUUUUUGGACCUUACAGGGAGAAGGUUGAUGAAGUUGAAGGCUGCUAGGGCAGUUUGUGAGCCAGUAUUUGUAUGACGAAGGAAUUCUUUCUUAAGAGGGGAAAUAAACAAUAU